rnacentral:rRNA from 1 species
CUUGCUUUCUUUGCUGGCGACCGGCGCACGGGUGAGUAACACGUAUCCAACCUGCCCUUUACUCGGGGAUAGCCUUUCGAAAGAAAGAUUAAUACCCGAUAGUAUAAUGAUUCCGCAUGGUUUCAUUAUUAAAGGAUUCCGGUAAAGGAUGGGGAUGCGUUCCAUUAGGUUGUUGGUGAGGUAACGGCUCACCAAGCCUUCGAUGGAUAGGGGUUCUGAGAGGAAGGUCCCCCACAUUGGAACUGAGACACGGUCCAAACUCCUACGGGAGGCAGCAU